rnacentral:rRNA from 1 species
GCAUAUCAAUAAGCGGAGGAAAAGAAACCAACAGGGAUUGCCCUAGUAACGGCGAAGUGAAGCGGCAACAGCUCAAAUUUGAAAUCUGGCUCCUUUGGGGUCCGAGUUGUAAUUUGCAGAGGGUGCUUUGGCGUUGGCGGCGGUCUAAGUUCCUUGGAACAGGACAUCACAGAGGGUGAGAAUCCCGUACGUGGUCGCCUGCCUUCGCCGUGUAAAGCCCCUUCGACGAGUCGAGUUGUUUGGGAAUGCAGCUCUAAAUGGGAGGUAAAUUUCUUCUAAAGCUAAAUACCGGCCAGAGACCGAUAGCGCACAAGUAGAGUGAUCGAAAGAUGAAAAGCACUUUGGAAAGAGAGUCAAACAGCACGUGAAAUUGUUAAAAGGGAAGCGCUUGCAGCCAGACUUGCCUGUAGUUGCUCACCCGGGCUUUUGCCCGGGGCACUCUUCUGCAGGCAGGCCAGCAUCAGUUUGGGCGGUCGGACAAAGGCCUCUGACACGUACUUCCUCUCGGGGAUGACAUAUAGGGGAGGCGUAAUGCGACCAGCCUGGACUGAGGUCCGCGCAUCUGCUAGGAUGCUGGCGUAAUGGCUGUAAGCGGCCCGUCUUGAAACACGGACCAAGGAGUCUAACAUCUAUGCGAGUGUUUGGGUGUCAAGCCCGAGCGCGUAAUGAAAGUGAACGGAGGUGGGAACCCCUCGGGGCGCACCAUCGACCGAUCCUGAUGUCUUCGGAUGGAUUUGAGUAAGAGCAUAGCUGUUGGGACCCGAAAGAUGGUGAACUAUGCUUGAAUAGGGUGAAGCCAGAGGAAACUCUGGUGGAGGCUCGCAGCGGUUCUGACGUGCAAAUCGAUCGUCAAAUUUGGGGCAUAGGGGCGAAAGACUAAUCGAACUAUCUAGUAGCUGGUUCCUGCCGA